AUUGAACGCUGGCGGCAUGCCUUACACAUGCAAGUCGAACGGUAACAGGUCUUCGGAUGCUGACGAGUGGCGAACGGGUGAGUAAUACAUCGGAACGUGCCUAGUAGUGGGGGAUAACUACUCGAAAGAGUGGCUAAUACCGCAUGAGAUCUACGGAUGAAAGCGGGGGAUCGCAAGACCUUGUGCUACUAGAGCGGCCGAUGGCAGAUUAGGUAGUUGGUGGGCUAAAAGCUUACCAAGCCGACGAUCUGUAGCUGGUCUGAGAGGACGAUUAGCCGCUCUGGGAAUGGGAGAAGGUCCAGCCUCCUACGGGUGGCAGAAGUGGUGAAUUUUGGACACUGGGCGCAAGGUUGAUCCCGCAAUGCCGCGUGCAGGCUGAAGGCCUUCGAGUUGUACACUGCUUUUAUACGGAACGAAAAGUCCCGGGUUAAUACCCUGGGGUCAUGACGGUACCGUAAGAAUAAGCACCGGCUACGUACGUGCCAGCCGCCGCGGUAA
rnacentral:rRNA from 1 species